AUUGAACGCUGGCGACAUGCUUUACACAUGCAGGUCGAACGGUAACAGGCCUUCGGGCGCUGACGAGUGGCGAACGGGUGAGUAAUGCAUCGGGACGUGCCCAGUCGUGGGGGAUAACGCAGCGAAAGCUGUGCUAAUACCGCAUACGAUCUGCGGAUGAAAGCGGGGGACCUUCGGGCCUCGCGCGAUUGGAGCGGCCGAUGUCCGAUUAGGUAGUUGGUGGGGUAAAGGCUCACCAAGCCAACGGUCUGUAGCUGGUCUGAGAGGACGACCAGGCACACUGGGACUGAGACAGGGCCCAGACUCCUACGGGAGGCAGCAGUGGGGAAUUUUGGACAAUGGGCGCAAGCCUGAUCCAGCAAUGCCGCGUGCAGGAAGAAGGCCUUCGGGUUGUAAACUGCUUUUGUACGGAGAGAAAAGGCUCCCUCUAAUACAGGGGGCUCAUGACGGUACCGUAAGAAUAAGCACCGGCUAACUACGUGCCAGCCGCCGCCGCAGUAA
rnacentral:rRNA from 1 species